rnacentral:lncRNA from 1 species
UGAGGGAGACAAAGCACUGAGCCCCAAACUGCUGCACAAGCCUUUCUGGAUGACCCCCAUCCCUCAGUCUGAGUGGGCCGCAUCAGGGUGCGGUGACAACUAAAGUUCGAAGGCACGAAAUGCGCGUCCAUCCUUACCAAAGGAUAGUGACCGCAGACAGAGCCACUAACCCCUGACCUUCUGACCUCUUCACCCAAUGAUGACCUGCCCAUUACCUGCCUGCCGAUC